CCCUUUGUACACACCGCCCGUCGCUACUACCGAUUGAAUGGCUCAGUGAGGCGUUCGGACUGGCUCGGGGAGGUUGGCAACGACCACCCCAAGCCGGAAAGUUCGUCAAACUCGGUCAUUUAGAGGAAGUAAAAGUCGUAACAAGGUCUCCGUAGGUGAACCUGCGGAGGGAUCAUUACACAAAAAAAAUAUGAAGGCAAACCCUUUUUGGGGGCGCUGAAUUAUUUUUUCACCCAUGUCUUUUGCGCACUUGUUGUUUCCUGGGCGGGCUCGCUCGCCACCAGGACCAAACCAUAAACCUUUUUUAUGCAGUUGCAAUCAGCGUCAGUAUAACAAAUGUUAAAUCAUUUACAACUUUCAACAACGGAUCUCUUGGUUCUGGCAUCGAUGAAGAACGCAGCGAAAUGCGAUACGUAGUGUGAAUUGCAGAAUUCAGUGAAUCAUCGAAUCUUUGAACGCACAUUGCGCCCUUUGGUAUUCCAAAGGGCAUGCCUGUUCGAGCGUCAUUUGUACCCUCAAGCUUCUGCUUGGUGUUGGGCGUGUUUGUCUUGCAAAAGACUCGCCUUAAAACGAUUGGCAGCCGGCCUACUGGUUUCGGAGCGCAGCACAUUUUUGCGCUUGCAACCAGCAAAAGAGGACGGCAAUCCAUCAAGUACAUUUCUCACUUUUGACCUCGGAUCAGGUAGGGAUACCCGCUGAACUUAAGCAUAUCA
rnacentral:rRNA from 1 species